GCGAGCGCGCGGCCGGGCGGCUUCGGACCUUCGACUGGACGCGCGCUGCCGGCGGGCGGGCGAGCUGGCGGCUCCCGGGCUCCGCUUCGCUGCCCCAGCCGGCACCUGCGGUCCCCGGAGAGGGGGGCCCUGCCAGGUGAUCUUCUGCUCCGGGAUGGGGUGCUGGCCCCAUCCCAGCUUCCCGUGAUCAAGCCUGCGGGCUAUUUCAGUGGGGAUGCCUGCGCAGCAGCAGAACUCAUACUCUUCCGAGAUGGCCUCUGACCUGUCGCCGGACUGCGGGCUCAGUGACCUGGGCAGAGGGGACAGUCUGGAGAGAAGCAGCAGCGGCUCCCGCUCCAGGAGCUUCACCCUGGAUGAUGAGAGCCUGAAGUACCUCACACAUGAGGAAAAGGAUGUCAUUAUGUUUUUUGAAGAGACAAUUGACUCCCUGGAAGAUGACUUUGAGGAACAGGUCUUGUGUGACAGUGGGGUACACUGCCACUUUCCUUGGUCUCUGGAAGAGAGCACUUACAGUCAUUCUGAGCCAGAAGAUGUCAUCGAUUUAGUGCAGCCAGGACCUUCAGUGGGGGGCCCCGAGUGCCCUCUGGAUGAGACUGAAGCAGCAGGGGCUGAGUCUGUUGGAAAGGAAGACGUUCCUCUCUUCUUGUGCAGGAAGCAAGGUGCUGAGAGUCCUCCGCUGCCAGACCCCCCGGUUCCACAGACCCUGCCGCUGCCUCUGGCCCCAGCCCACCCCAGGAAAGAGUUGCCCCCUCCUUCUCCUCCCGCAGAGCACCCGAAACUGCCUCGGUCGGUCCCUACCCCACUCGUCAUUGCCCAGAAGAUAUCUGAGAAGUUGGCGGGACGCGAAGCGCUGUUGCACACGUCGCCCUCUAAGGACGGUCGGCCUGGGGAAUGGAGGACGCUGGCUCUGGGGGGUCCCGGGCCGGGAGACCACUUCCUGUGGCACAGACACGUGGCCCCGCCUGUGCCCAAGGUUCACCGCUUCCCGAGCAACAUCAGCGUGACCAACAGCGCGGGGAAGGACUUCAACAAGACCAUCUCCAAGGCGGCCGUCAACGUGCAGGAGCGCAAAGCCCGCGUCUUGGCCAACAUUAACGGGGUCUCUUUCCUCUCCACGAGAGACCUGGCAGGCCGCGCCCUUAAGGGCGGCCCCUCGGAGCAGACGGGCAGCGUCGGCGCGGAGCAGGGUCCGCGUGGCACCAGCGGGCCAGCCCCGGUCCGGGAGGCGGCGCCCGCGCCUGCCGAGGGGCGCAGCGGCGGGCGGCAGUCCCGGGCGGUGCAGACGGAGCAGGCCCCGCCGCUGGCCAACGGCUGCCCGAGCAUCCACGACGCCCUGAGGAGCCAGCCCGGGGCCUUCGCCUCCGCCGGGAAAACUGUCGCCUUCCGGCCGACAGCGGCCCCCGCGGGGAAACUCGCGCUCCAGAACGCCAGCAAGAGCCUGGACGCGCCGCGGCAGCCCGACUGCGGCCAGGACGCGCGCAGGCGGGCGGGCUCGCUCCCCAGGGCGGUGGGCGUGCGGCCCCAGGGCGUCACCGUCCAGUUCGCGGGCCGCGGCGCCACCGAGGAAGCCCGCAGGGAGGCCCUGCGCAAGCUCGGCCUCCUGAAGAAGAACUCGUGACGAGACACGGCGGGGCCGCGGCCACGGGCGCGUCUCUGCGACCCGCGCUGUGCGCGCAGAGGGCGGCCCGGCGAGGACUGGGGGGGGCGGGCGCGUCCCCGGGGGAGCGGCGGCUGUCAGAGCCCCGCCCCACCUUGUCUGGCUUCUCUCAAGGACUCGGGCAGUCACCUUGGGGUCGCACAGGUUUCUGUGACGUGAACGCCGUGUAUUGUCUGGAUGUAGGAGAUGGGGUCUGGCUGUUAUUCUUGAGGCUCCAAGCUAGCCCUUUGUCCCGCGUACAUUAAGUGAAGGCCAGUUUAUAUCUAUUACACUCAGUUCUCUAAGGGAUGUUCCCCUCCUUUAGGAAACAAAAAGAAAUGCUUGUUAAAUUUUCACAUCUUAAAAUACUUCUCUGGUUUUUUGUUUUUGAAGAGUAAAUAGCCCGUUUUUUCUUGAUAUGAUUGGGCUUGCCCAGUUUUUUUUUAAUUGAAAAUUGAACUGAAACUUUUAGAAUAUGAUUUACUAUAGAGUCGGACAGAAAGGUUGACUUUGGGAAAGGUGGUAAGUUUAAGAAAGUAAGUCUCAUCAGACUACAGGGUCUGUGUUCCUGGGAGAUACGUGUAAGAACGUGUGUAAACAUGGACAUCUGUUUAUAGAAACGUUAACAUAUACAUAUAUAGGUAUCGUAUGUGUGCACACACAUUUGUUAUUACAUAUGUAUAAACUUCUUAAAACCCUACUAAGUAAUUACAGGAUGCAAGCACUUCCUAUUCUAUUAGUAGAUACAGUGGACUGUCUCAGCAUUGUGAUGGAUGACACAGAAAUUGUUACUUCCUAAUAUUUAGAAGCCUUUUAAAGCACAUCUCCAAAGUGCUUUUUCCUCAGCAAUGUGUUGUUCUGUUCCCAAUUAAAGUAAUAUUCCAAAUAAGCUUCCAGAUAAACAAGAUAGUUCCUUUUCUAGUAAAGAACAUUUUAAAGACUUAAUGUAUCAGCUAAUUUUAACCUAAUUUUAAUUUAUCACCGACUUGAUUUUACAUGUUCCAAGGUAGGCAGUAAAUAGAAGGAAACCAAAGCGUCUUAAGAUCCCCUGUUUCAGGAGAUCUCAGGAUUAAGUUAAAAGGGAAAAAACUAGGUUACCCAGCAUGAAAAGAACUGGUUUUCUCCCAGACUCCACCUUACAUGCUGAGUUGUAACUACCAGCACUAUUAUCAAAACCUUUGAAGGCUGGAGUCUUUAAACUUCUAAAAAUAGCCUGGGGAGGGCUCCACUUAGAAGCAAUGCCCGUUGUCAUUGUCUUAGCCACUGUCAUAGAAUCUGUUCUUGUUCUUUCUUGUUGAGUAUGAUUUAAAUUUAGACUUUUAAAUGUAUUGUGAAGGAUGUUUUACAUAGUAUUCAAUUUUCUGUAAGUUACAAUGAUUGUAAAGUUUUCCCCUGUAAUUACAGUAUGUAGUGUCUCAUCAAGCCCUGGUCCUCCUGAAAUAAUGUCAUAGAUUAUUAAUGGUAUUAAUUUAGGUGCUUUGAUUUUACAGGUUUUAAAGAUAGCAUUUAUUUUACUCCUCUUUAUAUUGAAUUUGUUUAAAAGAUUCUUGAAGGCUGUAUUACCUUUUUUCAAAAUGAGAUGCCAUACACAGUGUUUAAAAAUAGAGGGUCUUGAUAAGGCUAACAUUUUAAAUAUCCUUUAUAUGAGAAUUAUUUCUUUUUAUCUUAUCCUAUGACUUCAUUAUGAUUAAGGUCAAGUUGCCUAUAUAUUAGUGUAUCAGGUUUCAAAAUUACAUUUUUGAAAAAUAAAUUUAGAGACUUAUCUGAAGUAUAAACAACUUCAGUUUUGCAUUUUGUACUUACUCUCAAUUAUUUUAAAUGGCUAUAUCCUUCUAUUUAUUCAUAAUUUCUUCUACCUAUUUAUUCAUUAUUAUACUGAUUGUUAUGCUGGUUAUUUCUUGUACCCAAAAUUCCCAUAUUAAAGCCAUAUGUUUUGUACAUGGUUCAAAUUAUAGCUGCUAAUUAACUUGUAUGUGUGAGUAUCAGCAAAAACAUCUAGCUUGCUGAGGGGCAUUUGCUUUCUUGCCAUAGCUGCAUGAUAGGGCAUUCUGAAAGGGCCAUCUUCAGAGGGAUUUUAAAGACCAUAUUUCAAAGCAAAAUUGUAAUGAAAAGGAAAGAUCAAUCUUGAGAGCCCAGAUUUUUUUUCAAGUGAUACUUGUAAAUAAGUCUCCAUUUUCAUGAGACUCUUUAUCUUAAUAUUUAAAAAUCAGGAUAAAGAAGUUCUCCUUUGAUUUUAGGAAGGUAUGUACAAAGGGCCAAAUUUGAGUCUCUCAUCUGCCAAAGUUAUACUUGGCAGUUGCCAGGGAAACAGCCUCUGCCAGUUCCUCCUCUCUGUUCCCAGAUUUGGUUCCUGGUAUACAUACUUAUCUUUACAAGACUGAUAGAAAUUCUGAUCUUUAUCUCUCCCCAGCUCACACCAUCCUCUUAUAAUGCUUGUUGUGGAAAAAAGGCAUGAGGUGUGGGGGGGGGAGGGUGUCCCUCCUAUGUCUCUGGAUCUCACAGCAGAGGGCUCAGCUUAAGCAAAUCCCUGCGCCUCUCCACCACACAAGCUGACUUUUGACAACAGAAGUUUCUUCACUCCACUUUCCAGAUGGGUGGCUCCCAACAUAGGCUCCCCACUGGAAACCCACGUAUAUGAAGAGCUUAAUGGAGGUGACAAGUGAGGCCUAGGGAACCUUAGAGUUGACCUUUUUAUUUGUAAAAAAUCAGAAAUGUCUUCUUUUUAUUAAAUUCCCACAGCUCUGGCUAUGAGGAAUUUGACCUUUCAGGGGACUUAGUGGAGAUGUUUUUCAUACAGGUGAUCUAAGAAAUUGUUUCAUUAUGUUUGUUCAAGAGGAAUGAAGAAAGAGAAAUAAGAUAAAUAUGAAAACAAUUUACUGUUAUCAAGAAACCUGUAACUGCUGUGCUGUUUUCCUCAUGGAGGUGGCAGAAUGAAGCACUGUUACUCUGUGUAUUUUAUUGCCCUGACAAGUUGAAUAAACUUUUUUUCCCCUAAA